GUUUAUCUCCCACUUCCACUUUUCUUUAACUUUCUUAUCCACCUCUGUCCAGUCUCAUCCAUCAUUCCUCUCUUCAUGGAAUAUGCCUUCCUGAGAUAACCCACUCAGAAUGUCCCUCUUGGGCAGUACCCUCAACUUCUAAAUUUCUUCUCAGACCUCUCCUGGUUUCUGGAAACUUUGGACCUUGGAGACAUCGAUCUCAGAAGAAAAGCAUUACAUUAUCACACCAAUGUAAGUGGGAAUGAUCGAAGGCCAGCUUCAUAUGUUAGCUUUUCUAAGGUAGUUGUGCUUAAGAGAGUUUAUCGCCUACACAAAGAAAUGGUCCAUUUCAAACAUGAUGUUCUUAGUUCAAGUGCAAAUCUUUGUACAUCCUUCAGACUUCAUGCAAAAGCAACCACUUGGUGUUCUAAGUGUGAUAACCAUCUGUCACCAAGACUUCUACCAAAAUCCUCAGUCUGGCCAUUAAAUCUGCUCAUAUCUGGCUUCUAGUUUUUUCUAAACUUCAUCUCUUACUAAGGGAAUGUCCUAAAUCACUUUUAUAUCGUUUCUUUUUUUUAUUUAUUUUUUUAUUUUAUUUUAUUUUUUUUGGUCUUUUUGCCUUUUCUUGGGCCACUUCUGCGGCAUAUGGACGAAAUAGCAAAAAGACAAAAAAAACAAAAAACAAAAUUACCGCCAAACUCAGAGGCUUAGAGCAACACAUAUUAUUUCAUAGAGUCUGUGAGAUACACCUGGAAUGCAGGUGCAGCUGAGCCCGGUCCUCUGGCUCAGGACCUCUCACAGGCGAUGAUCAAAGUGUCGGCCCGAGGUGUAGUCACCUCAAGGCUCUACCGGGGAAGGAGCUGCUUCCAAGCAGGCUUGACGGUUGGCAGGAUUCGGUUCCUCGUGGGUUGCUGGCCAGAGAGCCUCAGUUCCUGCCACGCUGUUGGCUGGAGGCCCCCUUCCGUUUCUGGGCACUUGAGACACUGCAAAGGGCAUCUCCCAACAUGGCAGUGGCUUCAUCAGAGCAAACGAGCAGGCGGUACCAGAGAGAGAAGGCAAAUGGGACAGAAGUCAGCAUCUCUCUGUAAACGAAUCUUGAAGGUAACAUCCUGUCCUUUCUGCCGUAUUCAAUUCGUUAUAAUUAAGUCACUGCUCUCACAGGGAGGCGAUUACACAAGGGCAUGAACACCAGGAGGGGGAGACAAUUAGGGGCCAUUUCAGAAGCUGCUCACCCUCUCCGCAAGCACCUACAAACAUGUGCUGACAGCGUGUUGCCUUCUUCCCAUCUCCCAUCCCUCUCUUACUCUCCUUUUGCUCCUCUGGACCAAAAUCAAGCACCUGGCACUCUUCGCAUCCAUGCUGGAGCCUCUUCUGCUUCCACCAGCCACAGUCAGGCUAACACUUCAUCCUAUCAGCCAAACCAUCACGCCAAGAGCCUGUCGUGCGUUAUUUCCCUUUAGAUUUUGGAGAACAUUAAAUGUUUGAGCAUCCUAUGGCUCCUGAUAAAAGCACACUUAUUGUUCCCACUGGAGAGCGGAGUUACGAAUACUGCUACAGGCUUCAACAUUAAUAUCAUUUUCAUUAGGUUUGUCUUUGUGAUCAAGAGUAGCUAGGAUGUCUUCUGUUGAGACUAUCUUUUUGCAUUUUUAAUUACAUAUAUGGGAUUGUUUCUUACAGCAAAAAGUCAAAACGUCUCUAAUAUGUGGAAAUAGGUCUCCACCGACACCAAGAUUUUAUUCCAAAACGUUAUUGUGUAGAAAGUAAUGCUUCUGAUGGAGGCAUUUGUGUUUGCUUUCUGAUUUCAGCAUAACGGAAUGAAGAUUAAUGUUACUGAAACUUAAGCCAAAGUAACACCAACGUUCCUUCCAUGCAUUGCUUCCCACAGAACCACGCAAGAAAUGCCUCUAGUUUUCACGUCUCCACACUGUCUCAUAGGUGACAUUAAGGGCCAGUCUGAGCUCAUAUUAAUGCCAGCUUCCACUUCCUAGGCUGCCCCUAAUAAUCUUCAUGCAAUCUCUUAGUCUUUCUGCUGCAGCUCAAAAAGCCGAGGAGGAAAGGGAAGUCAGCUCUGGGAUGUCAGGAAGAGCUUCCAAAAUGUCUUGACUCACCUGAUGGAAGAUUAUUUUGAAAGAAUAAAUAAGUGUUGCAACAAGUCAGCUCGCUUCUUCACAGAUCAGUCCUUCCAUUGUCCCGACCUAAUUAGCGUAAUUUGUGUUAAAGGAGAUACUGAUUUUGCACAAUCGUCUUCUCUUGUAUUACACGCAUGACAACAUUCUCUUUACUGAACCUGGACAGCAAUCUUCUUGUCUGAAAUGUAAAAGCUCUUGCUCAGAAGUCUGCUCCUGGCAUCGUGGACUCAAAGAGAGAAGGGUUCAAGUUACCAUUGAUGGUGUUAUUGAAAAUGUAAAUACAAACACCACAUGACAUCGCUUAUCUCUGGAAUCUAGUAUAUGGCACAAAUGACCCUGUCUACAGACCAGAAACGAACUCGUGGACUUGGAGAACAGACCUGUGGUUGCCAAGGGGGACGGGGAGGGAGCGGGGUGGACUGGGAGUUGGGGGUUGGUAGAUGCAGACUAUUGCAUGUGGAGUGGAUAAGCAAUGAGAUCCUGCUGUACAGCACAGGGAACUCUAUAUCUAGUCACUUGGGAUGGAACAUGAUGGAGGAGAAGGUGAGAAAAAAAACGUGUGUGAGUGUGUGUGUAUUUAUGUAUAUGAAUAACUGGGUCACUUGGCUGGACAGCGGAAAUCAACAGAACAUUGUAAAUCAACAGUAAUAAAAAAAAAUCUUAAAAAGAAAAUAGAAAUAAACCAAGGAAAUAACAGAGGGCCAGGAAAGCCAGGGCUGUGUAUUUCUGACCUUGUGAAAGCCGCUGGGCUGCGGGCCUCUGCUGCCCAAUUAAAAUAAGUUUUGCUGGUGUUCCUCCUGGCUGGGUCCUCCUGUGCUCUCUGAAUGAUAACUCCGGCCCAUCCGGGGACAGGUACAGUUGAAAAGUCUUUGUAUUUCUGUAGGCUUAAGCCAACCCCCUCAGAGCAAGCUCUUCCAGCGCUGAGCCGGAGCAGGGCUAAUGCCGCGCUUGGCAGCUCAUGCGCGGCCUCCUCCUUGGCGAGCCGGCCGCUGCUCUUAUCCACUUGAGCUGUCUUUUGAAAGCCUCCUUCUCACAAAAGACAGAGCUGAUCUCUAGGGCCUGGGAAAAUAGAAAAUUCUCACACUGUGAUGGGAAACACUGUCAAGACCCAAAACUCUAUAGCGAAGCCUCAGACACCAGUGUGUAAUCGCAGAUAAAGUGAGGGGUAGGGCUGCGUGGGGGAAAGAGGGACAGGGUGCUGAAAACGGACCGGUGAGCCGGAAUGGGAAAUGAUGGAGAAACAACCAAGACCACCCCCCUCUCCAGAGGGUGCUCAGCCAGGGCGCGUGUCACCCACUAACUAGGGCACCUGGCUGGCUUCUCCUCCACGUGGCCUUACGUGGAAUCUAAGCACGCGUGUGUAGACCGUAGGCCUGACACCCUGACGUUUUUGCCAGGAUCAGAAAGCAGAUGGACUUGCUUAUCGAGAAGCUUCGGUGAAAGGCAAAAUGUUGCGGCUCUGACUCUGAUUGCUCCCGCUGUUCAGUUUUCGGGGUUUGAUAGGCGCUGCAUCCUACGAAAGCCAGAGCUCUAAGAAAGCGCAUCUCUUGAAACAGCUAUAUCAUAUUCUUGUAGGGAUUCAUAUAUGUAUAUAUGAAUGUAUAUAUGCAUUUGUCUUUUUAGGGAUGCACCCAUGUCAUAUGGAAGUUCAGGUCCCAGGCUAGGAGUCUAACUGGAACUGCAGCUGCCGGCCUCAAACACCGCCACAGCAAAGUGGGAUCCAAGCCGCAUCUGCGACCUACACCACAGCUCACGGCAGGGCGGGAUCCUUAAUUCUCUGAGUGAAGACAGGGAUUGAACCCGCAUCCUCAUGGAUACGAUUUGGGUUCGUUACCCCUGAGCCACCAGGGGAACUCCUGGGACCCAUAUUUUCAUCCCUCUCGAAAGAGUGACGGUUGGUAACCACCCACCUAGGUGUUUAUGUAGUUCUCAUGACCAGAUCACCCUGAAGCUCGAACGAUAAAGAUGACGUACUCUUCCCACGCCGGGGUCAGGAUGCGCUUUCCCUGCCGAUGGUGUAGAAGGGGGGAGCGGGAUAGGCUGUGCUUUACUUUUGGACAAAUGCUCUUUAAAUAAAUACUAAAGUAUAUAUUUAAAAAAGCCAGUCUCAAAGGUAUAUGAAUAUACACAACAAUGUACUACACAGAAAAGGGAGUUUUUGAGCUUUCUAAUGUU
ensembl:lncRNA